AUUGAACGCUGGCGGCAGGCCUAACACAUGCAAGUCGAGCGGAUGAAGGGAGCUUGCUCCUGGAUUCAGUGGCGGACGGGUGAGUAAUGCCUAGGAAUCUGCCUGGUAGUGGGGGAUAACGUCCGGAAACGGGCGCUAAUACCGCAUACGUCCUGAGGGAGAAAGUGGGGGAUCUUCGGACCUCACGCUAUCAGAUGAGCCUAGGUCGGAUUAGCUAGUUGGUGGGGUAAAGGCCUACCAAGGCGACGAUCCGUAACUGGUCUGAGAGGAUGAUCAGUCACACUGGAACUGAGACACGGUCCAGACUCCUACGGGAGGCAGCAGUGGGGAAUAUUGGACAAUGGGCGAAAGCCUGAUCCAGCCAUGCCGCGUGUGUGAAGAAGGUCUUCGGAUUGUAAAGCACUUUAAGUUGGGAGGAAGGGCAGUAAGUUUAUACCUUGCUGUUUUGACGUUACCAACAGAAUAAGCACCGGCUAACUUCGUG
rnacentral:rRNA from 1 species